rnacentral:lncRNA from 1 species
GAAUCAGACAGAGAGACAGGGACAGAGGUUCUAUUCCUGUUCUAGUUGAAUCAGACAGAGAGACAGGGACAGAGGUUCUAUUCCUGUUCUAGAUGAAUCAGACAGAGAGACAGGGACAGAGGUUAUAUUCCUGUUCUAGAUGAAUCAGACAGAGAGACAGGGUCAGAGGUUCUAUUCCAAUUCUAGUUGAAUCAGACAGAGAGACAGGGACAGAGGUUCUAUUCCUGUUGAAUCAAACAGAGAGACAGGGACAGAGUUUCUAUUCCUGUUCUAGUUGAAUCAGACAGAGAGACAUGGACAGAGGUUCUAUUCCUGUUGUAUCAGACAGAGUGACAGGGACAGUGGUUCUAUUCCUGUUCUAGACGAAUCAGACAGAGAGACAGGGACAGAGGUUCUAUUCCUGUUCUAGAUGAAUCAGACAGAGAGACAGGGACAGAGGUUCUAUUCCUCUUCUAGAUGAAUCAGACAGAGAGACAGGGUCAGAGGUUCUAUUCCAAUUCUAGUUGAAUCAGACAGAGAGACAGGGACAGAGGUUCUAUUCCAGUUGAAUCAGACAGAGAGACAGGGACAGAGUUUCUAUUCCUGUUCUAGUUGAAUCAGACAGAGAGACAGGGACAGAGGUUCUAUUCCUGUUGAAUCAGACAGAGAGACAGGGACAGAGGUUCUAUUCCUGUUGAAUCAGACAGAGAGACAGGGUCAGAGGUUCUACUCCUGUUGAAUCAGACAGAGAGACAUGGACAGAGGUUAUUUAUAUUCCUGUUCUAGUUGAAUCAGACAGAGAGACAGGGACAGAGGUUCUAUUCCUGUUGAAUCAGACAGAGAGACAUGGACUGAGGUUAUAUUCCUUUUCUAGUUGAAUCAGACGGAGAGACAGGGACAGAGGUUCUAUUCCUUUUGUAGUUGAAUCAGACAGAGAGACGGGGACAGAGGUUCUAUUCCUGUUCUAGAUGAAUCAGACAGAGAGACAGGGACAGAGGUUCUAUUCCUGUUGAAUCAGACAGAGAGACAGGGUCAGAGGUUCUAUUCCUGUUGAAUCAGACAGAGAGACAGGGACAGAGGUUCUAUUCCUGUUCUAGAUGAAUCAGACAGAGCGACAGGGACAGAGGUUCUAUUCCUGUUGAAUCAGACAGAGAGACAGGGACAGAGGUUCUAUUCCUGUUCUAGAUGAAUCAGACAGAUAGACAGGGACAGAGGUUCAAUUCCUGUUCUAGUUGAAUCAGACAGAGAGACAGGGUCAGAGGUUCUAUUCCUGUUCUAGAUGAAUCAGACAGAGAGACAGGGACAGAGGUUCUAUUCCUGUUGAAUCAGACAGAGAGACAGGGACAGAGGUUAUAUUCCUGUUCUAGUUUAAUCAGACAGAGAGACAGGGACAGAGGUUCUAUUCCUGUUGAAUCAGACAGAGAGACAGGGACAGAGGUUCUAUUCCUGUUCUUGUUGAAUCAGACAGAGAGACAGGGACAGAGGUUCUAUUCCUGUUGAAUCAGACAGAGAGACAGGGACAGAGGUUCUAUUCCUGUUCUAGAUGAAUCAGACAGAGAGACAGGGACAGAGGUUCAAUUCCUGUUCUAGUUGAAUCAGACAGAGAGACAGGGACAGAGGUUCAAUUCCUGUUCUAGUUGAAUCAUACAGAGAGACAGGGUCAGAGGUUCAAUUCCUGUUCUAGAUGAAUCAGACAGAGAGACAGGGACAGAGGUUCUAUUCCUGUUGAAUCAGACAGAGAGACAGGGACAGAGGUUAUAUUCCUGUUCUAGUUUAAUCAGACAGAGAGACAGGGACAGAGGUUCUAUUCCUGUUGAAUCAGACAGAGAGACAGGGACAGAGGUUCUAUUCCUGUUCUAGUUGAA